rnacentral:rRNA from 1 species
AUUAGAGUAGUAAUAGAUAUGUUCUUUAAACUUAAAAAAUUUGGCGGUAUUUUAAUCUAGUCAGAGGAACUUGUUUUAUAAUUGAUAAUCCUCAUUGAAUCUUACUUAAAUUUGUUUAAUUUGUAUACCGUUGUCAAAAGAAUAUCUUAAAAAGAAAAAAAUUUUCUUAUAUAAAAAUUAUUUAAUAUGUCAGAUCAAGGUGCAGUUUAUAUUUAAGAAAAAAUGAGUUACAAUUAAAAUUAUUAAUAAUGAAUUAAAAAAUUAAAGUUUUAUGAAGGUGGAUUUGAUAGUAAAUUUUUAGAGAUUAUAAAAUUGAUUAUAGUUCUAAAAUAUGC